rnacentral:rRNA from 1 species
UACAGGGGGUGCAAACGUUGCUCGGAAUCAUUGGGCGUAAAGCGCACGUAGGCGGUUCGUUAUGUCGGAUGUGAAAGCCCUUGGCUUAACCGAGGAAGUGCAUCCGAAACUGGCGAGCUAGAGUACUAAAGAGGAUCGCGGAAUUCCCGGUGUAGAGGUGAAAUUCGUAGAUAUCGGGAGGAACACCAGUGGCGAAGGCGACUUCCUGGCCUGUUCUUGACGCUGAGGCGCGAAAGCUAGGGGAGCAAACGGGG